rnacentral:lncRNA from 1 species
GUCCAUCUCUACAUACUUAAAUCUAGACAGGUGGCUAACAAAAAUAUCCUCUUCACCACAUACAGCGACGAUCUGACCUUCUAGUUCAUAUUUGAGCUUCUGGUGGAGGGUAGAAGUAACAGCACCGGCAGCAUGAAUCCAAGGCCGACCUAGCAGACAGCUGUAGGCAGGCUGGAUAUCCAUCACAUAAAAGGUGCUCUUGAACACCUGCGGUCCAAUCUUAA